rnacentral:rRNA from 1 species
UGAGCAAUCUGCCCUUCUCUUCGGAAUAAGCGUGGGAAACCACGUCUAAUGCCGAAUACGACCUCCUUUCGCAUGAUCGGAGGUGGAAAGCUCCGGCGGAGAAGGAUGAGCUCGCGGCCUAUCAGCUAGUUGGUGUGGGUAAUGGCCCACCAAGGCGACGACGGGUAGCCGGCCUGAGAGGGUGACCGGCCACACUGGGACUGAGACACGGCCCAGAUUCCGACGGGGAG